GACGAACCGUGCGAACGUUUUUCGGAAUCACUGGGCUUAAAGGGCGCGUAGGCGGGCUGUCAAGUCUGGGGUGAAAUCCCACGGCUCAACCGUGGAACUGCCUCAGAUACUGACGGCCUCGAGGAAGGUAGGGGCGUGCGGAACUGUGAGUGGAGCGGUGAAAUGCGUUGAUAUUCACAGGAACUCCGGUGGCGAAAGCGGCGCGCUGGACCUUUUCUGACGCUGAGGCGCGAAAGCUAGGGGAGCAAACGGG
rnacentral:rRNA from 1 species